rnacentral:lncRNA from 1 species
ACAGCAUAGUCCUUCAGUCUCUAUGUGCCAGAUGGCCAGUUGGUGUGGACCACAGCAUAGUCCUUUAGUCUCCAUGGGCCAGAUGGCCAGUUGGUGAGGGCCACAGCAUAGUCCUUUAGUUUCUGUGGGCCAGGUGGCCAGUUCGUGAGGGCCACAUCAUAGUCAUUUAGUCUCUAUGGGCCAGGUGCCAGUUGUUGAGGACUACAGCAUAGUCAUUUAGUCUCUAUGUGCCAGAUGGCCAGUUGGUGAGGGCCACAGCAUAGUCCUUUAGUCUCUAUGGGCCAGGUAGCCAGUUGGUGAGGGCCACAGCAUAGUCCUUUAGUCUCUAUGGGCCAGAUGGCCAGUUGUUGAGGGCCACAGCAUAGUCCUUUAGUCUCUAUGGGCCAGAUGGCAAGUUGUUGAGGAUCACAUCAUAGUCCUUUAGUUUCUAUAAGUUAGGUAGCCAGUUGGUGAGGGCCACAUCAUUGUCCUUUAGUCUCUAUGGGCCAGGUGGCCAGUUGUUGAGGACCACAGCAUAGUCCUUUAGUCUCUAUGUGCCAGAUGUCCAGUUGGUGAGGGCCACAGCAUAGUCCUUUAGUCUCUAUGUGCCAGAUGUCCAGUUGGUGAGGGCCACAGCAUAGUCCUUUAGUCUCUAUGGGCCAGAUGGCCAGUUGGUGGGGCCACAGCAUAGUCCUUUAGUCUCUAUGGGCCAGAUGGCCAGUUGGUGAGGGCCACAGCAUAGUCCUUUAGUCUCUAUGGGCCAGUUGGUGAGGGCCACA